rnacentral:tRNA from 1 species
GGGAUAUAGCUCAGUUGGUAGAGUGCCUGCCUUUUAUGCAUGAGGCCCUGGGUUCAAUUCCCAGCACCACCA